rnacentral:rRNA from 1 species
UGGGGAAUUUUGGACAAUGGGGGAAACCCUGAUCCAGCCAUUCCGCGUGAGUGAAGAAGGCCUUCGGGUUGUAAAGCUCUUUCGGCAGGAACGAAACGGUUUGGGCUAAUACCCCAGACUACUGGCGGUACCUGAAGAAGAAGCACCGGCUAACUACGUGCCAGCAGCCGCGGUAAUACGUAGGGUGCGAGCGUUAAUCGGAUUUACUGGGCGUAAAGCAUGCGCAGGCGGCGGUUCAAGUCAGGUGUGAAACUCCCCGAGCUUAACUUGGGAAUUGCGCUUGAAACUAGAUCGCUAGAGUACGGCAGAGGGGGGUAGAAUUCCACGUGUAGCAGUGAAAUGCGUAGAGAUGUGGAGGAACACCGAUGGCGAAGGCAGCCCCCUGGGCCUGUACUGACGCUCAUGCAUGAAAGCGUGGGGAGCAAACAGGAUUAGAUACCCUCGUAGUCCCUGAGCGGGCUGGCAAGGCGCAU